rnacentral:rRNA from 1 species
AUUGAACGCUGGCGGCAGGCUUAACACAUGCAAGUCGAGCGGGGAAGGGUAGCUUGCUACCUAACCUAGCGGCGGACGGGUGAGUAGUGCUUAGGAAUCUGCCAUUUAGUGGGGGACAACAUUCCGAAAGGAAUGCUAAUACCGCAUACGCCCUACGGGGGAAGGCAGGGGAUCUUCGGACCUUGCGCUAAUAGAUGAGCCUAAGUCGGAUUAGCUAGUUGGUGGGGUAAAGGCCUACCAAGGCGACGAUCUGUAGCGGGUCUGAGAGGAUGAUCCGCCACACUGGGACUGAGACACGGCCCAGACUCCUACGGGAGGCAGCAGUGGGGAAUGUUGGACAAUGGGCGGAAGCCUGAUCCAGCCAUGCCGCGUGUGUGAAGAAGGCCUUUUGGUUGUAAAGCACUUUAAGCGAGGAGGAGGCUACUGGUACUAAUACUACUGGAUAGUGGACGUUACUCGCAGAAUAAGCACCGGCUAACUCUGUGCCAGCCGCCGCAGUAAGAC